AACGAACGCUGGCGGCAUGCCUAACACAUGCAAGUCGAACGAGACCUUCGGGUCUAGUGGCGCACGGGUGCGUAACGCGUGGGAACCUUCCCUUAGGCUCGGAAUAACUCCCCGAAAGGGGUGCUAAUACCGGAUAAUGUCUUCGGACCACAGAUUUAUCGCCUUUGGAUGGGCCCGCGUUGGAUUAGCUGGUUGGUAGGGUAAAAGCCUACCAAGGCGACGAUCCAUAGCUGGUCUGAGAGGAUGAUCAGCCACACUGGGACUGAGACACGGCCCAGAAUCCUACGGGAGGCAGCAGUGGGGAAUAUUGGACAAUGGGCGAAAGCCUGAUCCAGCAAUGCCGCGUGAGUGAUGAAGGCCGUAGGGUUGUAAAGCUCUUUUACCCGGGAUGAUAAUGACGGUACCGGAAGAAUAAGCUCCGGCUAACUCCGUG
rnacentral:rRNA from 1 species